UACGGGGGGGGCAAGCGUUGUUCGGAAUUACUGGGCGUAAAGGGCGCGUAGGCGGGUGGACAAGUCUCUCGUGAAAGCCCACGGCGCAACCGUGGAAUUGCGGGAGAUACUGUCUGUCUUGGGGCCGGGAGAGGAGGGUGGAAUUCCCAGUGUAGCGGUGAAAUGCGUAGAUAUUGGGAGGAACACCGGUGGCGAAGGCGGCUCUCUGGACCGGUACUCACGCUGAGGCGCGAAAGCUACGGGAGCAAACGGG
rnacentral:rRNA from 1 species